ensembl:lncRNA
CCACCCCCCCACCCCCUCUGUUCACUGCAACGUUAUUCCUCCUUUUAACCAGGAGGACAAAACAGGGAAACCUUUGCCAGGUACUUCCUGCUGUUCCUCUGAUCCGCUGCUAUGAAAAGGCUUCCUUUCCGCUCAAAGUCACAUGUAAUUUCCAUGAGGUCGUCUGGUUGGACCGUGAGUUUCCUGCUCGGGUAUUUGGUUAAUUUGAUUUUUGAGAAAAUAAGGGCGCAUGGAAGGGAGAGGCAGACGGGAUGAUACAUAUAUUUAAAGAACCCUUUUAAUCGAUUUGCUGGCGUUGGUUUUUUUUUUUCUGGAGAUAUUUCACAUUUGCGGUUACGGAUCCUCGCUUCCACCCCUCCUGCCCCCCCCUCUUACCCCCCCCCUCCUCCUCCUCCUCUCGCUCGCCUUCUGGCAUUCGCAGCACAGUCUCGAGCGUUUCUUGCCAUCCAGCAUCUGUCACUCACAACUCCUCUCUCAUCAUACCCGGUAAUGUAGUCACGCUGAAUGGCGUUCUCCCGCUAAUCUAAUCUUCCCCCUUUCAGCCCCCCCAGAGACUUGGAGCGGUUUCAAGUCACAUCCAUUUCAAAAAACCCGACCCGCCCCCCCCCGCACCCACCCACCUUCCUCAUGUCGGCCCAUGCUAACCUUCACUUUGGAUCGCCGGCCCUCACAGCUCCGAUCACAUUACCGCCUUCACAAAAACAAAGCUGGCUCCGGCUGACUGCUCAGAUCUCGUUAAACAUCCACACAUAAACAGAACGAGGUGCCGUGAUCUCGUGGAGAUGCUGCCCAGCAAUUAAGAUAACAUUUAUUGCCAAAACCUGCAGAUUCCCUUCAUCUUUUCAGCCAUUUUUACACAGUAAAUGUAAUUAGUGCAGCGGCGGCUAUCGUCUUGCCCCUUCACGAUAGAUCCGCGAAGGGGAAACGAACAGGAAAGGAACCUUUACAGGGAACCAAGUAGUGUCUUUCAUCAGGGACUUCAAAUCCCAUCAUGCUUGGCGAAUCCCAAGGCCAGAAUGAUCGAUGGCCUCCCCGGUCGCUCGGGUCAAAAGGUCUCCGACUGGACUUGUUAGGGGUCAAUGUCCCUUUGAGCUGAAGACACGGGCGAGACGAAACAAGCCUUUUGAGACAUAACAAAUCAAUCUUGUUCCUUCUAGUCGAGGGGUCACGAUUGAUGAUGCGCACCAGCCUUUGUGUUUAUCAAGGUCUGAAAUGGAUGAACUACUCAUAAAAUGUCCAAAAAAUCGACCAAAGCAAAGAAGACUUCUCCCGAUGAGACAUGUCAGCUUAUUUUCCGUAUCUAUUUCUACACAUUCUACAUAUUGCGAUGCGGCCCGGGGCGCGUUGGCCCCGCCCCCGCUGCCACAGGUAGCCGCGUGCUCAGCGGAGUGUGAGCCGCUACACCUGUCCUCCCCUCGGGGAGGCGCGACGCAUUUGCCAGCUGGCGCGGCGCGGCCGGCGACAAAAGGAGCCGGACAGAUUGGGCGAGCGGCGGGACGUCGGGGACGAGCAGAAGAAGACGCGGCCGAUGAGGUGAGGGCUGAAAUAGAGAGGGAGAAGAAGGGAGAGCGCAGAGGGGAGGAGAAACGGGGGAGAACGCAGGGUGAUGGAUGGAGGGCAGGCGAAGGGCAAACAUGAUGAACUGUGUUAUGAUGAGGUACCCAACUUGGUGCUUGAGGAGGCGCGAUCCAACCAUUUAAAUUGAUUUAUGUACUGAAAUGUUAACAUUUACGUAAGAAUUUAAUACAGAAUUCGAUAUUAAUGGUGUUGCCACUGGAGUCUUUCAUGGUAUGAACGAACCAGGUCUCAUGUGCUUUAAAUGUCUUUUCCUCGUAACAUUAGGAUGGAUUUUUGUGUACCGACAAUACGUCGCUACGGUGAAAUACUACUAAUAGAUAGUUUUAUGUCAGUGUGUUUCAGUAUUUUGUCAAACCGCGUUCUAUAAGUGAACACUGAAUUCUACAUUAGAACGUUCCACACUCGGUGGUAACAGCUUCAACGUGCUCUGCCAUACAAACCAUGUGACCGUCGCCCGGCGCCCCGUUUCCACCUGCAGCUUUAGCGCCCACACUGAUGUGUGUGUGUGUGUGGGGGGGGGGGGCGACCAGCCAUUUCCAAAAUGUCACAUCACAGCCGCGAGACGCCUCCCGGCGACUCACCAAAACCGAAUUAGCAGAAUGUGAGUGUUUCAGCAGAAUGUGUUUCAGCAGAAUGUGAGUUGUUCAGCAGAAUGUGUUUCAGCAGAAUGUGAGGGUUUCAGCAGACUGUGAGUGUUUCAGCAGAAAGUGUUUCUGCCGAAUGCGAGUGUUUCACCAGAAUUGUUUCAGCAGAGUGUGAGUGUUUCAGCAGAAUGUGAGUGUUUCAGCAGAGUGUGAGUUUUUCAGCAGAAUGCAAGUGUUUCAGCAGAAUGUGAAUGUUUCAGCAGAGUGUGAGUGUUUCAGCAGAAUGUGAGUGUUUCAGUGCUGCGGCGUCUCGCUGUGAUAACAUCUGUCUUUGCUUGUAUCUAAAGUAUUUUUCUCCAUCCUCAUCUCAUUUCACUCUCAGUAACUUUGGCUCUCACACUUUCUUUCUCCUGGGUCCACUUAGGAUGUGUGUGUGUCUCCCGAGUGUGUGUUUGUGUGUGUGUGUGUGUGUGUGUGUGUGUGUGUCCCGAGUGUGUGUGAGUGUGUUACUCUGUGUUAGCUUCCCCCUGGCUGAAGUGUCAGACAGAGAAGUGAGAUCUCUCUCUCUCUCUCUGAAUACUGUUCAAAUGUAAAACACACAUCCAGGCAAACACACACACCUCUCAUAUCUCAAUAGUUGGCCGCUCAUUCAGCAGGGAACAUAUGUUGAGCGUACUUGGACAACACACACACACACAGACACACACACACACACAUCUCUCUAGCUGUAUAAGAACCUGUCCUAAGCAUCCCUAAGCGGGAUGUAGGCAGCAGCCUGUCGGACCCACGGGAACGCUCACGAGAGGACGGGGCUGAAGGCCGGUAACGCGAAUAACAUCGGCUCUGCUGCUUUUGCUGCAUUAAGACCUGCUGCUUUGGCAGGACACACACACACACACACACUCACAUAGACACACACUCACGCAGACACACACUCACGCAGACACAUGCUCCCACUCACUCUCCCGGUGCGAGUAUGGUUUGCAUUGGUUCUGCUGCUGGCUUUUGUAAACAGCGCUAACUGCUUGUGUAUGUCUGAAUCCUGCAGGUUCUGUGACUUCUGAUUGAAUCUCCCUCCCUCUCUCUGCGAUGCCCUCUGACCUGCUUUGCCGUACGGGCUGUCACAAGCGCGCUCCCCUUGUCACGCGUGUUUAGGUAAGUCUGCGACACGUGAUCCCCGCGGGGCUGAAGGGUCACACACAUUCAGCGCCGUCCGCCGGCGGGAGGACAAAGAGUGUGCAUGGACGCCCCCGUUAAGUUCGGCCUCACUCACGUCCUGAAGGCCGAAUCCCUUCCUCCAUUUCACUGCUUUGUGGAACUUUGCGACAAAGCAGCUUAAUCUGACGGGCAGGCGGUGGGCGGAUGCGCUGGACUGCAGCGCAGCUAAUGAAGGUGAGCUCGGUUCACCUUUAGGAGAACUGAUGAAGCUCUCACGCGUCCCCCGACGUGACGACCGAAGGAGCCCAGUCGACACCCAGUGUUCCAUCGGCGCCUCUAAAGUGUCAAACCUCAGCUUUGUUCUGCCCUCAUCGUUUCCUCGUGGCUUCCUUGGCGCCUGAAUGCACGUGGAGAAAAGCUAAAUCCCACUAUUACAAGUUAUAUGAGAAUCCUAAGAAGUGAAAUUGUGCACAGUUUAAUUAAUUGUAUCUAAUGAUACUACGAUGUUAUGAAACAUUGUUUCAUGGCUCAGCUGACCCGUUGCUGUUGUCACACAAACACUGAGAACUCGCCAACAUCAACGGACGGAUCAGAUGUGUCUGUAGCGUCCGCGUUGCUCCCACGUGGCGGCUGAAAGAACGUCUUCCGGGCUGUGGGGAAUAAAACCAUAUUAAGUGGCAAUUAAAUCCCCUCCAUGCAAAUACAAUUAAUGGGACCAGUGCAGCGAACAUGACAAAUAAAACCCUCUUGGAAAUGAAGGGCAGGGAAACCAAAGCUACGUUUUUAGCUUGUAGCAGCUCAACGAAUAUUUCCAGACUUUGAAUACAGUUUUAUUUUGUUAAUUUUGGGGUUUUUUUUGGUCUCUCCACCCUUGAUUAAGUCCUCCAAUUUUGCAUUUCAUUUUUUUGCACAUUGUUUUGAUAGAUUUAGGUGUCACCUGAGUGUCCCGCGGGGACAAUAAGAACCAAGUAACAGGAGGAGGAUGAAAUUAGGCUGGAGGUAAAAUCAACAGACAAAAAAAAAAAAAAGGGGAAAAGGCACCUUAAAAAAUGCUGAUGAUGUGAUCCGAACCCCCUCUGGCGGCGUCGCGGCGGCUUCCGCCAACUUAGAGGUCUGAAUUGAAACGAAUCGAAGUGAAAAGCGAUAGAAGACAGACACGAGUACAGAUACACAAACACACGCACAUCUUGUCCGCAUUAAGACAGUAACCCUAACCCAUGUCUGCCCCUCAUCCCCAGUCACAGGAAGUGAGGUCAGCACAGAGACGGAGUGUGUGUGUGUGUGUGUCUGUGUGUGUGUGUGUGUGUGUUUUGAUGUGUCCCUCCUGGUGUCUUCUUUCUCUGUGAGAUUAGAUUUCAGCCAUCGCUGAGGCUCGCUAAUUAAUGUCACAACCUGCAGACCGUGUCAGCACCAAUUUACCACACACACACACACACACACACACACACACACACACACACACAUGCUUCCUCUCCUCACCUGUCACAAUUAAUGUCAUACUUUCUGCUCUCCGUGUCACUCUAUCCGCUCGCCUGGCUUCCUCUCCUCCUCACUGCAACUUUCUCCUCUGUUCACCUCGCUGUCACUACCGAUCGUCCACCUCUUACUUUUCCUCCCUACAGCUCCUCCCCUCCCUCCUCACCCCUCCUCACCCCCACCUCCCUCCUUAUCUUUCCUUUUCAAUGCCCGGCCCCCUUUCUCCCUUUGCUCCCAGUUCAUUUCUUACUUUGAGAGUCUGACAGCCGAGCAGGUCAAAUGAGAACUGUUUGAAAGUUGCAUUGUGGGAGAUGUAGGACACAACGAUGGUUGUUGUCACCAUGCAACACGUUUUUAUCCAGUUUUAGUGCAUUUCUAGCAGAAAAUGUUGAUAAUACACCUGAAUGCACUUUUGUUAGAAUUAGCUUUGCUUGAUCAACGCAAACUUUUGGAUGGUAUUAGAAGUAUCUCAACUUUUUUACAUAUUUUUUUUAUAGACAAUUAAGAAUUAAAUAUUGAAAAUGUGCAUUAAGACAAUCAGACAGAAACGUUUUCCUCCAAAUUUCUGCAAUUGUCCCACAAAAAUGAAAUGUAAUACUGAAUCACUGGAAAUACCAAUUUAAGAUAUGAGUAUCAACUGCAAUGAGAUAUUCACUCUUUUUAGAUCGGCCAGGAUGAAUUCCCUCAUGACGAACCAGCCUUAAAAACAUUGACUUCCGCGGCAGCUUGAGGUGACGCAAUGACCGCUCACAGGCUUCAGGUCACGCGUGUGCGGCCGGUGACAUUUAUUCAUCGAGCGUAGAGCAGCACGGAAAGCUUCUCUCAGAGGAAGAGACGUUUCUCCAUCAUCUGCCGGGUGGCUCCAGUCGGGAGUUUGAUUGACAGGCGGUCCGUCCAAUCACCAGCCACCUGUUUACUCCGACGUGCCAGAUGGUUCCCCUGUAACAGAACAUCUGGGGGGGGUCAGCUGAGUCCGAGCAAUUAUUAUUGCGGCGAGAAGAAAACUUUACGGCGUACGGCGCCGACAAAAAGAACGUGAGAGUGAUCGAGUGGCAACUUGAAUAUAUGAAAAAUACACGUAAAAGACAAAAAGUGUGUAAAUGAUGUAUUGUAUCCCGCCUUUUUGCACUUGACUAGACAACCACCUAAUGCUUCUCCUCAUAAUCGGACACCGGUUGCGAGCUGUAUUUGUCUCUGAGGUCAGUCACAUGACCCUCAGCUCUCCGGCACGUUCUUGUUCAUAAUUAACCACAUCGCUCCCUGGAUGAAUGAAUCAAUAACUGCUCCAGCCAGUCGGACAGCCUCCCUGGGAUGCCUGUGUGUGUGUGUGUGUGCGUCCCUGUCAUGCUGUGUAAGUAUGUUAAUGCGUGUGUGUGUUUGCCCCCUGUCAUUAGCCCCAAUGAUUGACAAAGUCCUCCCAUUUCACCUCCUCCCUCCCUCCUCCCCUUCCUUCCCUUAUUGACCCUCCUGUCAGCGGGCUGUCAGCGGGACUUCCUCAUGUCAUCAAAAGGAGGACUUUAUCUCGAUGGACAGUCCCUCCCCAUCCCUCAUGUACCUCACGGCUUAUCUGGGAUACUGUAUCUGACAGGGAGGCAAAUUGAGUGCUUUCUUGUAUUUCUGCCUUUAAAAAAUAAAGAGUGUCCACACGGCAGUCAAACGGGUGAGAACGGAGUGUUGGUCACCCCCAGGGGGGUCGAUUUAGGAGGGUUGUUGGGGCUUUUUAGGCUGUACUAAUAAUAAAGGUUGUUAUUUUAUUUCUACUUUGUUCUGUUCCUGUUGUUUGUAUUUAACUGUAAGGGAGUUCUGAACAAAUGUCUUUGUCUGAGAACGUGGUUUUCCCUCUAGAAUGGACAUUUUUGACAUUUAUUUGGACAUCGCCAGAGAGCGUCUCACAUUUUGGGCUCCUGUCUGACAGCAUUUCAAAAUCUCAUUGCUCUGAGACUCUCUAUCGUUACCCCCCCACCCCCAUUCCUCCCCCCUCUCCCCCUACGUCUAUUCAUGUGGGUUUGGGAUUUUUAUUUCUCAUACUUCAGUCGGAGGAGAGCGAGGAAAGAGACGAUUGAUGUAGGAGUGUGGGGGGGGGGAGGAAGGUAAGGAUGCUUAGGGAGGUAUUACAAGGCAGGGAGAACAAAGCGAGGGAGUAUAGGGAGGGAGGGAGAGUAGAAAGGGGGAGAAUGACAGAUGGGCCCAAAGAGGAGGAGGCUGCUGGGUUCAGCACUGCGGCAGAGCUGAGCACAUGACGCCUUUACGCCGUGUGCGUCCUCCACGAGUGUGUGUCCGUCUGUUUGGACGGUCUGUGUGCACCGCAGUGAGCGCCUUGGCCUUUUUGCACAGCCCCGCGCUCGUGCACGCUCGUGCACCCUCGUGCGCGCGCUCACGCCCGUGCCGUGGCGCGGUGCCGGUGUUUACCUGGAUCUACAUGGAGGAAUGUAGCCAGAGGGACCGUCCCUCCACCCGUUAUCCUUCCAUUCUUCCCUCUUUUCUGUCAACCGUCUCUAUAUUGACUCAACCGGUAAUAAAUCAGAGCCCCUGCGUGUGUGUGCGCGUGCGUGCGUGUGCAUGUGUGGGAGACGCAUGUUAGGAGCGGCUUCCAUCCUGCUUCUGGUUUGUCUGUUUGGACUGUGUGUGUGUGUGUCUGUGUGUGUGUCUGUGAUUCAGCAGAUGUGCACCGGCGUUUUUUUACCUGCAUGUAUCCGUAGUAGCAAACCUGAAUGUGUGUGUGUGUGUGUUGUGGCAGAUGUGGAAGCUUGUACUCCCCUUGACAAAUAUACUGCGGCAUGUUUGUGUGUGUGCGUGUGUGUGUGUGUGUGUGUGUACCUCUGAGCCGUGCUGAGCAGCAUGUAAAUGCCAGGCCACGCUGGUCUUCCGGGCAAACCGGCCCCACGAGGGAGACGAGAGUCUACAAAUGACUUUUCCGCACGCUAUUUCAGAACACACUCCCCUCUGAUGCUCCACACACACACACACACACACACACACACACACACACACACACACACACACAGGGUUAGUAAAUGCUACACUUACGGUAGAUGGUGGUAUUCUGUAUUAUUCUUGAUGAUCCUCAGUCUGAAGGAACCGUCUCCACGAACACGAGCGAAUGUUUCUGGAUUGAUGGAUUUGUAAAAUUAGUACAGCUGACCUGUUUUCCCUUGCAGGGAAAUAAACGUAGAAAGACAUUUGCAAUAAACCCUUUAUUGUAUUAUUUACCGAUUAUCUGUGCAAAAUCUCCCACAACAAAGCUAAAGUCUGCAUGAAGAAAGAAACAACACCCUCAAGAACUCUUACUGACGUUAGACUCAAUCGUCUAGUGAACUAACCCGGUGCAUCCAAACCCUAUUGGGCCGUUUUGACCCUCAAAAACACACAGGUGCAGUUGGUCAUUGACAUUAACACAGUAGUUUAUUUGUUGAUCAAGACCUCUAUCCAGAAGAGAAAUAGAGAAACAGAAACGAAGUCAGCAUUUAAUACCAAAAUAUAAUAUCUAUACAUUUAAAAAAAAAAAAAGUAAACUUCUCCGCUGCCUCUCUGAGUGGCAGCGGCGACGUCUCCAUCAGCGGCGUCCUCUCACCCUGCGCCGUCUCUCUCGCUCGCCCGAUCGCUUAACCGCUCCCAAUUAAUCCAGGAAGCCCCCACUGAGAUAAAAGAUCUGCUCCGUCCCGGCAGCCAAUUGUCACUCUCCUGAUGAAUCCACUCACCUGGUUGGCUAGAUUGCAAUCAGCCGGCUUUGAUUGAAAGGCAAGGGCACAAAAGGACAAAGACAAAAUCACUUAGGCAACCUAUUAGGCCUGGAACGCCGUGUCCCGCUCGGUACAAUAACGUAGGCGCUGAUGAUCUGCCGCCGAUAAGGAGGUUCGCUCUGCAGACCUCAGGGGGGCUGUCGAGAGGUGUGUGUGUGUGUGUGUGUGUGUGCGUGCAGAAGCAUGUUGCUUCGUCACGGUUUAUUCAUCAGUGUGUGCGAGUGGCUGAGAAGACGCACAACGCGCUGAACUCGCAGUGACAGAGUGAUCCUGGAGGGGGGGCAUUUAAACGAGGAGCCUGUCGCUGCAGCCGACACUUUCGGUUUAAUGUUUGAUUUUUACGAAAAGGCUUCGCUUAGAAUAACGUGGUGGUGAGCCACUAGGAAAAGGAAUGCAAGUCAAUGUACCGUCGUCUACAGUGGCGGGAACCUGGUGGGAGCCGCGGGCGUGUGCGCUGUGAUUGUGCGCCCGCCCUCAUUUCACAAUCAGCUCGGCACUGGGAUUAGCACAAGGCAAUCCCCACCACCGGAUCCUCGUACUGUACCAGGCCGUCCGUUCAGUGGGCUUAGAGCUUAGAGGGGCCGGAGUGGAGGAAACCCUGCCCCCCCCCCCAUGGAGGAUUACGGUCCAGCAGCCCCCGACGUCCCUUCUCUUAGAGGCCAGGAAUGUUCUACAUCACUAAGGCCCCUCUAAUCCCGCACUGUACUCAUACUGUGUGUGUGUCAGUGGCUUGAGACCCUUUAAACUCGUGUGUGCAUCAACAGCCAGGUGGAGGUACACUGGGUCUGUUAACAGAUGGAUUGACGCAGGGAUCAGAGGUCCGAUGUGUGUGUGUGUGUGUGUGUGUGUGUGUGUGUGCGGAGGAGGGGGGAGGGUGCGUAAAGUGUCCCGUGGCUUCUUUCUUUUUGAACAGAUUUCUGGGUGAAGGUCAGACACGAAUGUGUUGUAUUUCGGCGGUUGUAGCAGUUGUGUUUUCCGGCGAUUUCUCCCCGGCAGCUCGGCGGCGUUCCGGGGGGCGCGAGAGGAGCGCAGGUUCAACGCUGUGCGGCCCCCCUCACAUCUGCUGGUAUUGAUCCGUGUCUGUGGACGUGCCUUUUGUGAGAGGUUAAAUCCGCCGCUGCCUAAUGGCGCUUUCAUGUUGUAGCGUCUCUUCAUCUCACCGCCCCCCCCCCGUCUCGGCCUCCGUCCCUCUCUCGUCUAAUAAAGACAACGGGGCCGCGUGCAUCAGACAUCAGACGACAUCAAAGCCUCGCCGCUGUUUACCUCCCGUGCUUUCUCCCCCCUCACGCUGCCACUCGCUCUUUUUUUAGCGUGUGUGUUUUUUUUUUGUUGCACAGACAUUACCCGUCUGCAGACGCCCCGUUUGAUGUGCAGCAUCAGUCAGCGUCGUGCGCGUGCGUUCGCAUCCGUGCGCUGGGACGCCGUCUGUGUCUAAAAGGCAAACC